GGGGCAGGGGGAAGCUGACAUGAUUUGAUUCAUAAUUUUUUUUCUUUUUUGAGACGGAGUCUCGCUCUGUCGCCCAGGCUGGAGUGCAGUGGCAUGAUCUCGGCAGUGAGAUCACUGCAAGCUCCGCCUCCUGGGUCCACGCCAUUCUCCUCUCUCAGCCUCCGGAUCAGCUGGGACUACAGGCGCCCGCCAUCACGCCCGGCUAAUUUUUUGCAUUUUUAGUAGAGACGGGGUUUCACUGUCCUAGCCAGGAUGGUCUCAAUCUCCUGACCUCAUGAUUCGCCCACCUCGGCCUCCCAAAGUGCUGGGAUUAUAGGCGUGAGCCACCGCGCCCGGCCCUGAUUCAUAAUUUUAAUAACACAUCCUGCACAUCCUGGCCAGGUGUGGUGGCUCACGCCUGUAAUCCCAACACUUUGGGAGGCCACGGCGGGCGGAUCACUUGAGGUCAGGAGUUCGAGACCAUCCUGGCCAACAUGGUGAAACCCUGUCUCUAUUAAAAAUACAAAAAUCAGCUGGGCUUGGGGGCACGCACCUGUAAUCCCAGCUACUCGGGAGGCUGAGGCACGAAAAUCAUUUGAACUCCAGAGGCAGAGGUUGCAGUGAGCGGAGAUCACACCACUGCACUCCAGCCUGGGGGACAGAGCAAGAAUUGGUCUCAAAAAAAAAAAAAGGAUACAUUGUUUUUGUUUUGCUAAAUGACUUUUGCAAACACCCACAAUCCUUGCCUUCAGAGAGAGUCCGAGAAGCGGAAUUGCCAGCCCACAGCGUCCCAAGGCUUAAUACCAACAAAUUACUCCCAGGAAGAAAAUAGCAUCUGUUUCUAUUCCUCCCUGAAGUGGCUGAGUGCCUAUCCUCUCCACUAGCUGUGAGAUCACCUUUAUCAACAUAAUUGGCCAUUGGCCAGUGGCAGCAGCCUCCUCAUCCUCUCCAGACACACUCUGGAUCUUGGUUCUGCUCUUCUUGCCUCUGGAGAGCCCCAACACUCCCCAUUCCCAGUUGACUCAGCUCAGGUACGGGACUCUGCUUCCUGACUCUUCAUCAGGUUCAGC
rnacentral:lncRNA from 10 species